CGCGCUACACUGACGGAGCCAGCGAGUCUAACCUUGGCCGAGAGGUCUUGGUAAUCUUGUGAAACUCCGUCGUGCUGGGGAUAGAGCAUUGUAAUUAUUGCUCUUCAACGAGGAAUUCCUAGUAAGCGCAAGUCAUCAGCUUGCGUUGAUUACGUCCCUGCCCUUUGUACACACCGCCCGUCGCUAGUACCGAUUGAAUGGCUUAGUGAGGCCUC
rnacentral:rRNA from 1 species